rnacentral:rRNA from 1 species
AUGCAAGUCGAGCGGUAACACAGGGGAGCUUGCUCCUGGGAUGACGAGCGGCGGACGGGUGAGUAAUGUCUGGGAAACUGCCUGAUGGAGGGGGAUAACUACUGGAAACGGUAGCUAAUACCGCAUAAUGUCGCAAGACCAAAGAGGGGGACCUUCGGGCCUCUUGCCAUCAGAUGUGCCCAGAUGGGAUUAGCUAGUAGGUGGGGUAAUGGCUCACCUAGGCGACGAUCCCUAGCUGGUCUGAGAGGAUGACCAGCCACACUGGAACUGAGACACGGUCCAGACUCCUACGGGAGGCAGCAGUGGGGAAUAUUGCACAAUGGGCGCAAGCCUGAUGCAGCCAUGCCGCGUGUAUGAAGAAGGCCUUCGGGUUGUAAAGUACUUUCAGCGAGGAGGAAGGCAUUAAGGUUAAUAACCUUGGUGAUUGACGUUACUCGCAGAAGAAGCACCGGCUAACUCCGUGCCAGCAGCCGCGGUAAUACGGAGGGUGCAAGCGUUAAUCGGAAUUACUGGGCGUAAAGCGCACGCAGGCGGUCUGUCAAGUCGGAUGUGAAAUCCCCGGGCUCAACCUGGGAACUGCAUUCGAAACUGGCAGGCUAGAGUCUUGUAGAGGGGGGUAGAAUUCCAGGUGUAGCGGUGAAAUGCGUAGAGAUCUGGAGGAAUACCGGUGGCGAAGGCGGCCCCCUGGACAAAGACUGACGCUCAGGUGCGAAAGCGUGGGGAGCAAACAGGAUUAGAUACCCUGGUAGUCCACGCCGUAAACGAUGUCGAUUUGGAGGUUGUUCCCUUGAGGAGUGGCUUCCGGAGCUAACGCGUUAAAUCGACCGCCUGGGGAGUACCGCCGCAAGGUUAAACUCAAAUGAAUUGACGGGGGCCCGCCCAAGCGGUGGAGCAUGUGGUUUAAUUCGAUGCAACGCGAAAAACCUUACCUACUCUUGA